CUUGGGGCUUAAAGAAUUUUGUCACGUAACCGUUGCAUAUUUGGCACAAACGUUACUACAAAGUACAAACAAUUGAAUACCUGUCUCUUUUUUUUUUUUUUUGGCCAAAACAACUGAAUACCUAUCUACUUGUAAGAUUUUAUCAAAAAAUAAAAUAAGUAAGUUCGUUAAUUAAUAUCUUGGCUACACACACCUUUUCUUAGCUUUGUUUGGCGGAUUUUAAAUUUACGUUGCUCUCUUCCAAAGCAUAAUGUACCAAUUCCAAGAAAAAACAACAGAAAAUUGUCUCCAUUAACCAAUGCAAUGAUGUGAGUGUUUGCGUCAAU